UACGUAGGGUGCAAGCGUUUGUCCGGAAUUAUUGGGCGUAAAGAGCUCGUAGGCGGUUUGUCGCGUCUGCUGUGAAAACUCGGGGCUUAACCCCGGGCCUGCAGUGGGUACGGGCAGACUAGAGUGCGGUAGGGGAGACUGGAAUUCCUGGUGUAGCGGUGAAAUGCGCAGAUAUCAGGAGGAACACCGGUGGCGAAGGCGGGUCUCUGGGCAUUAACUGACGCUGAGGAGCGAAAGCAUGGGGAGCGAACAGG
rnacentral:rRNA from 1 species